GACCAACGCUGGCGGCGUGCUUAACACAUGCAAGUCGAACGGAAAGGCCCUGCUUUUGUGGGGUGCUCGAGUGGCGAACGGGUGAGUAACACGUGAGUAACCUGCCCUUGACUUUGGGAUAACUUCAGGAAACUGGGGCUAAUACCGGAUAGGAGCUCCUGCUGCAUGGUGGGGGUUGGAAAGUUUCGGCGGUUGGGGAUGGACUCGCGGCUUAUCAGCUUGUUGGUGGGGUAGUGGCUUACCAAGGCUUUGACGGGUAGCCGGCCUGAGAGGGUGACCGGCCACAUUGGGACUGAGAUACGGCCCAGACUCCUACGGGAGGCAGAAGUGGGGAAUAUUGCACAAUGGGCGGAAGCCUGAUGCAGCAACGCCGCGUGCGGGAUGACGGCCUUCGGGUUGUAAACCGCUUUCGCCUGUGACGAAGCGUGAGUGACGGUAAUGGGUAAAGAAGCACCGGCUAACUACGUG
rnacentral:rRNA from 1 species